AUGUGUGGCAAUAUCAUGUCUGCUCUGCGGCCUGUCACUAUGCCUGCUGCCUGGAAGGCCACUGCUGGGGUGAUUUUCCUUCAUGGAUUGGGGGAUACAGGGCAUGGAUGGGUAGAAGCCUUUGGCAGUGUCAGAAACUCACAUAUCAAAUAUAUCUGCCUGCAUGCGCCAGUUAUGCCUGUGACAUUGGAUAUGAACAUGGCUAUGCCUUCUGGUUUGAUAUUAUUGUGCUGUCACCGGAGUCACAGCAGAUGAACCUGGAAUUAAACAUGCAGCAGAAAGUAUCAUGAUAGAUCAGGAGGUGAAGAAUGGCAUUCUUUCUAACAGAAUUAUUUUGGGAGGAUUUUCUCAGGGGUCCUGUCAGUGGCGCUAACGUGGAUUUUCUAUUCUUCAGUGCCAAGAAGAUUGCGACCCUCUGGUUCCCCUGAGGUUUGGUUCUCUUACUGCCGAAAAACUAAAAACCUUGGUAAAUCCAGCCAAUGUAACCUUUAAAACUUAUGAAGGCAUGACGCACAGCUCACGUCAGCAGGAAAUGAUGGAUGUCAGGCAAUUCACCGAUAAACUCCUACCUCCUAUUGAUUGACGUCACUAAGAGGCCUUGGUAGAAGUACACCAGCAUCAUUGCAGGAGAGUGUAAACCUUUUCCUGUGCCCAAUCUUCAAACUUCAAAUGUUUGCAGUGUUAAAAUGUUUUGCAAAUAUAUGCCAAUGACACAGACUCAAUAAUGUCUCCUCGUAGGAAAUUUAUGAUCUUUUAAAUUUCUAUACAUAUGUCCUUAUAAUGUGAUUCAGAAAAUCACUAGUGUUAAAACAGGUGAAGCAGCUAGCUUCUAUUUUCUCAAGUGUAAUUAACCAAAAUAAUAAAAUAAUGCAACCAGACUUUUUAUUACAUCAUUUGAAAAUUACUAGUAUGCUUAAUGAAAAUUUGUUCAGGUAUAAAUGAGCUGUUAAGAUAUACAUGAUUUAUGCAUGCUGUGGCUGAAGUCUAUGGAUUUAUUCCAAAAUUGCUUAGUCACCAUGCAAUGUCUGUAUCUUUGUAUGUGCGUUCACUUACACGUAAUGAUUGUAAUACAUGCUGAGAAUGAGGUGGUAUUACCUUAUUCCUAAUAAUAGGGAUAAUGCUUUUUAGUGUCAAUAUAGAGUACUAUUGUUCUCUUCAAUUAAUGGCCCUUUUGUUCUGGGACUGGGCUUUUCCUUUCCUUGAUACCAUUUUUAUUGAAUAUUCUUUUUUUC